ACGUAAUAGAUACCCGGGUAGUCCACGCCGUAAACGAUGAGUACUAGGUGUCGGGGUAUCGACCCCCUCGGUGCCGUCGCUAAACGCAUUAAAGUACUCCGCCUGGGGACUACGGCCGCAAGGCUAAAACUCAAAGGAAUUGACGGGGCCCGCACAAGCAGCGGAGCGUGUGGUUUAAUUCGAUGCAACGCGAAGAACCUUACCUGGGCUUGACAUAUAGGUGGUAGGGAUCCGAAAGGUGACCGACCCGCAAGGGAGCCUAUACAGGUGCUGCAUGGCUGUCGUCAGCUCGUGCCGUGAGGUGUUGGGUUAAGUCCCGCAACGAGCGCAACCCUCGUCGCUAGUUACCAUGUCUAGCGAGACUGCCGGGUCUAACUCGGAGGAAGGCGGGGAUGACGUCAAGUCAGCAUGGCCCUUACGUCCAGGGCUACACACACGCUACAAUGGCCGGUACAAAGCGCCGCAAUGGGGUGACCCGGAGCAAAUCGCAUCAAAGCCGGUCUCAGUUGGGAUUGCAGGCUGCAACUCGCCUGCAUGAACGC
rnacentral:rRNA from 1 species